GACGAACCGUGCAAACGUUGUUCGGAAUCACUGGGCUUAAAGGGCGCGUAGGCGGGUUCCCAAGUCCGGGGUGAAAUCUUUCGGCUUAACCGGAAAAGUGCCUUGGAUACUGGGAGUCUUGAGCGAGGUAGGGGCAGUGGGAACUUCCGGUGGAGCGGUGAAAUGCGUUGAUAUCGGAAGGAACGCCGGUGGCGAAAGCGCACUGCUGGACCUUUUCUGACGCUGAGGCGCGAAAGCCAGGGGAG
rnacentral:rRNA from 1 species